CGCGCCUCCCGCGCGCUCCGCCCUCUUCCUCCCGGCUUAGUCUCCGCGUCUUCGUCUCGGACUCUCAGGGCCUUUUAUUGCUCCCCGCAGCUUCCCGGGCACGCGCUCCCCUCCUCCCCCAAGGGCUCUAAGAGUGACUCCCGCUCCAGCCGGGUCGCUAGGGGUUGAGAGAGGGGACUAGCCAGCAGCAGCGGGCGUGACGGCAGCCAACGGCUCCCCGAGGAACCUUCGCACCCUGCGGUGCCCCGCGCAAACUUCCUCUAGGGCAGGACUCCUCUAAGUCCCAGGUGUAGAGAUCACCCCUAAGGAAGGGGCUAAGCGGAGACCGGUUGUCCCUUGCGGGGCUCCGGGGUUCCAGGUCCUGGGCAAGUAUGCACGUGGCCGGCUAAUCUCCAGCCCUGGGGCCUGGUGCUGGAGUCCCCCACUCCGCAGCAGGGCUGCUGCACGCCCCCAAGGCAUCUGCCCACCCGGAGUCCCCGCCAACCCCUCCAAAGCCGUCCUGGAGCUAUCCCAACCGCUGGAGGAGGGAUGUGAGCCACCAGUGGGGGCUUCUCAGUCGUCCCUCCCACCAGCAACACUUUUUAAAGCGUUUAAUCCGCCCGAGCAGCCUUCGGAGGUAAUUGACAAAGUCCUUAAUCUGCGCGGUUAACGAGCUGCUGUUGUGACUCCGACCGUGUGGCUCCCACGCGCCCCACGCCGCGCCCCGCCGGCCGCCCUUCCCCCAGCUCCGCAGAGACGCCUGGGCCCCCCGCUACUUCUUAAAGCUGUUUUCCGGCUCCAGGGCGCUCUGGCCGCCUUGCUGUUCCCUGGCACCGGCGUCGUCUCUCUCCCACCGGUUUCCAGUCUGUCGCCCCAUCUUCGUCUUCAUCCCUCUUCUCGUCCCUCUAGGUGCCUGGCAGACGUGGGGUAGACCUUGUGAGGGUGGGGCCCGAGCCUAACACAGGCAGAGUGGUCCCUAGGAUCGCAGCUGGAGCUAGGCACCGUGGCCACAUGCCCUCCCAGACUGUCACCAGCCAGAAACUCGGUCCUACAGUCUACGAACUUCCAGAGUUACCGGUGGCUGUCGUCUCCUGCAGUCCCAGCCCGGUUUCCCACCAGCAAGCUGCCAGAGUUACUGCCCAGUAACCUAAGGCUGGGGUCAGAAGCCAGUUCCUUGAGGAUGUACCUGUGUCAACCUGAAACACCCCCCACCCCGCAACUCCUCAUCACUUAAAAGGGUUGUAGGUGACCCAGAGAUCCUUCAGGCCUAAGCGGGAAACUGUGAUUACUGGCCACUAAACCUCUCUUGACAUAGGUUCCCCUUGUAUCCAAAGGGUUAACAGCACCUCAAUCUGAAGGGCUCUCUCUUCUGGGAUUCAGAAGCAGGCACCUUCCAUAAGCAUCUGAGGGGUUAGGGUUCAAACUUCCCUGCUGGAACCUCAGACAGGCUUCAUACUCUCUCAGAGCCUGUUUCCUCAUUGGGCAAGCAAGGAUGGACGAGAAAAAGGAUUUCCCAGGGCCCCUCACAAGAAGUAGGUCUUAGGAAUCCCAAGUCUGAUUCCACAGUGCUGGGAGAGAAUUUUGACGCCAGGCAAGGUGUGCACUAAAAAUCUCUCUGGGCAGUCCUAAACGGGGUAAGGGAUCCAAAGGUCCCAGGGUGUACACAGAGAGCGGUCAGUCAGCCUCUUUAGGACAUGGAUACUUGGUUCAGGAGACAUCACUUUGACGUUAAGACAAGGGAGGCCAAGCGCUGAGUGGGAGACACAGUGAAUUCGUCCAGCAGGUGUGCAUGGGAGCCUUCAGGACGGCCGCUGCUGAACCUGUGGAAGGACAGAUUUCACGAACAGUCUCCUCUCCAAAGACCUGUGAACUGUGGUAAAAUGCCCAUUUUAAAGGUGAGGCAACUGAAGAACAGAGACGUUAAGUACCUUGACAAAGAUCACACAGCAGCGGUAGAUCCAGAAUUUGAAUCCCGGGCUGUGCUCUGCUGGAGCCCAUCUCCUCAAACGUCUCAGCACUUGCUGGUCUCUGAUAUUCCCAGAGAGCAUUGCACGCAGCAGAGCUCCAGAACGUGGGCUGCAUGUCAAAUGUGCCUGUCUCCAGAGACCUGGAGGCAGUGAUCCAGGAGGUCAAGACCUCUGGCCUUCGUCCACCCACCUCUCCCCGCACACUGCCCUGGGCUCUUCACUCUUCUGGUAAAGCGGUUUCAACUCACCUCUGACAGUCACAUUUAUCAUUAAAAAUAAAUUCAUCC